rnacentral:lncRNA from 1 species
CCCCAAUCAAUGUCUCCCUUCGGGUCAAGAGUUCAGGGACUCAGUGUGCUGGGCUGAGGGGCCCCAGCUGAGAGGAGGAUGGAUUUGGGGCCACGUGGAGACAUGAUUCAUUCUCCUGCUAAAACCAUUGAAUUUUCCUGCUCCUUGUGGGAGAAUAACUUCCCCUUUGGGAUGGAAACCCUGCAUUCUGACUGGGGAGAGGAAGGGUGAUUCCAGGCCCUAUCACUCAGCUCCCAUGAGAAUUGUCAGCCCGCAGGUGUCUCCCCAGGGCCCGGGCAGACGGGCACACACUGCAAAUGAUCCCCCGCCUGAUGGCCCUGCCAGGGUCUCCUAGAGAGUGGCAUCGGCAUGGUUGUGGAUUUUAGAAGGUUCCAGACAUAGAUGUACAUCAUAUUUCAAAUUCUGGAUACAUUACAUCAUGUUCACCACCCGAACACUAAUUAUAGUGCAUCCCCUCACAUGUGACCCUAAUCACCCCUUUUGCCCUCCCCCCGUCCCCCCUUCCCCAA